CCAGCACAUGCUUAUUUAGCAGUCAACAAUACAAACAGCUUACAAACUUAAUUUGCUUUAUUAUGAGCUUAUUUUUUCGUUUAGAUUAAGUGGCCGAGUUUAAGAAUUCCUUUUCUAUUAAAAUGCAAAACAUUGAAGUUAAUGGAACCAAUCUUGGGGCCUUGCUCGACUCUGGGAGUGAUUAGACACUGGUACACAGGAAAUACCACCCAACAUUGUCAGCAACAGUGACACCAUCCCAUCUGUUGUGUUCAUGGAGACAAGAAGCCUUAUCCAACAGCAUGUAUGGUAGAAGGGCAGACUUGCGUUUUGAACAUUGAGGUUUCUGAUAAUCUGCCUUUUGAUGCUGUUCUAGAAAGAGACCUACCAGUUCUUUUUGAUUUGUUGGAGCCAGAACAAAGCAGAAAGUGUAGCGCUGUGGUAACCAGAAUGCAAUCCAGUGAGCCCUCUGCAAUUCUCAGGGCCCUGCCCUUUUUCAAUGAGGAGGUUGGAGACCACACCUGGGAAGUCUUGGGAAAACCCACAGACAGAGAAGGCUGGAGAAAUUCCAAAAGACAGUGGUGACAACGUCAACCAGCACUGAGCCACUAGGGUUUCAAGUUCCAGGUAAUAGAAGUGAUAUGUAGAAAACUGAUCAAUCUUUCGUCUCUCUUUUCCAGAAGGAGAAGGAGCCGGAGGCUGAGCUGGACAUCAUAAAUGAUGAGUAUAUCGUGCAAAAUGGCAUCCUCUAUCGUCAGCGUUGCAGCUUGUGGUUCCCCAAGCAACUAGAAACACUGGCCUGGCCUGCGCAGAGAUGUUGCUUAGUUCUGUGAAAGUUGUCCUCAGUGCCAAAUAACAUCUGCUAAAACAACCCCCAGGGCUCCACUUCCACCGCUACCAAUUAUUGGCAGCCCAUUUGAGCACCUUGGGGUGGACAUUGUUGGUCCUGUUGAGAGAAGCAAAGCAGGAAACUGUUAUAUGCUGGUUAUAACAGACUAUGCUAUCAAGUAUCCAGAAGUCUUUCCACUAAAAUCCAUACCUCUGUUUGGUACAAUUCUUCUUUUGGACAUGAAGUGAAGGGCUGUAGGCAAUGUUGAGAGCUCUGGGAGGGUGGGAUCUGUUAAUGUUGUAUCUAUGUCAUCCAGAUCAGAGAGCGGCUGGAGAAAAUGGGUGAGCUGGCCCAAUUGCACAUGUGCGGACGCCCUGCAGCAACAGAAGUCCUAGUACGACAAGUCAGCCAGACAGAGAUCCUUUGACCCAGGACAGGAAGUGCUGGUGCUCCUACUUGGUGAUGACAACAUACGUUGGCUAAAUGGCAAGGACCGUUCCACAUCCUAAAGAAACUUGGGUCAACUACAUACCAGGUAUAAACACCAGGGCACUCACGCUCCAGUAGGGUACUACACAUAAAUCUCUUUAAGAGAGUGGGUGUAGUGACCUGGAAGGGGGGGGGGAAUAGAUAUGAUGCUACUAAGUGUGCUGGAUGAAGAAGAGGUGGAUGCACAAUACUUACCUCUCUAGUGACCUCUCAGACGGCCCAAGGUUUCAGGUGAGAGCCACCUGUAAUUCAGAAGUUUUCAAGGACAAUCCUGGGGGAACAAAUAUUGUUAAACAUGACAUUGUUGUUAAAGAAGGUGCUCUUGUGAGAAGUUACAGGAUCCCCGAGGGCCUGUUGGCCUCACUGAGGAGGGAGGUUAUCCUGAUGCUGUUCCUGGGAUCAUUGAGUGGUGUAACCUAAUGAUGCUCCUACCAAAGAAGGAUGGAAGCAUAAGCAUCUGCAUUGAUUUCAGGUACCUGAAAUGCAUUUCUUCAUUUGAUUCCUAUCCAACACCAAGAAUUGAUUAACUGCUUGAAAGCCUUCAGGACACCAUGGGGCCCUUUCCAGUUCACAGUAAUGCCAUUUGGGUUGCACGGCGCUCCAGCAACUUUCCGGAGACUCAUGGACCAGAGAUUAGUACCUGGGCCACGUCAUCAGCAAUGGGGUUGUGCAUCCUCAGGUCAACAAAACCCAGGCCAUAGAGUCCUGUCCCCUGCCACGAACAACGCAGCGCCGAUCCUUUUUGUACUAUCCGGCUUCAUCAUCGCUUCAUACCGCAUUUCUCCAACAGGGCAGCUCUACUCACAGACUUGACUAGAUCCCGGAGGCCCAAUCAGAUCCAGUGGACAGAGCAGGCAGUGGCAGCUUUCAGUGAUAUCCAGCAAUCACAAAGGGUUUGGGAGCUGUGUUACUCCAGGACCUCUGAAUGAUUGGCAUCCAGUCGCCUACAUCAGCUGGAAACUGUUCCCCAGAGAGGUUCGGUAUUCGGCGGUGGUGAAGGAGGCACUGGCUAUUAAGUGGGCCAUUGAUUCCUUCCGAUACUAACAUCUUGGUUGAGCGUUCACCCUGGAGACAGAUCACAAGGCCUGUUUGGCUUUGGUAGAGAAACUAUCCAGUGGUGAUAAGCAAACGUACCACGAGCUCCUCACACCGAAAUACGAGGGUUUUGAAGGAUUAUUCUCUGAAUGGUAUUAUGUUUUUAUCAACAAGGAUAUACAAUGCGUUUCUACUCAAAGGAUGGGUUUUUCCACAUUUCAAUUCAUGCAAGGGCAAAGGUCGAGACAGGUAUCAAAGAUUUUAUUUUUUUAAUCGAAGCCUCAUUGUUGACCAAAUUAAACAUUAAUUCCUGUCAUCAUAGAUGUAGGAUCUUUGAAAGAGGUUAGUUGAGACCUUCUUCUGUUAGUGUGCUCAUUUUUAUUUUAUGAUAAGCAGAAUUUUAAUCCCACCUCUCCACACACUCAGCUCCAGUCUCAAUUAAAGAAACUUCUGCUCGUCCAAGGUUUACCACGAUGACGGCUGCAGUACAGUGACUGUUCAGUCUGGGUCAUGGAAUCCACCUGGUGAUCGGGGAGUGACGGUGGUGGUGGAAAAUCUCCUGUAUGUUGACAGUGAGGACACUGAGUCUUUCCUGGUCAUGAUUCACUGCUGGUCAGAUCUCCUGUCUCGUCCAGACAAAAAUAAGCAUGAUGCAAUCAUAAAACCAUCCCCUGCAAUCCCUGGGCCGUCUGUGACAAUUUCUGCUCCCUGCCCUGUUUGAUAUUGUUAGUUCUGUUACACUCGUUGUUUUUAUAAAAUAAAUAUUAGUUAUUCAUGUUUGUUUGAAGUAUUUUUUAUUUUUAAAAGUUCUGUUAAAUAUAAAGAUGUAUGCCAGUUUUCUCUAAGUCUAUGAAUAUUGUCUUCGGUGGUCAAACUGUCUGCAAUAUAAGGGUCAACCAAA